rnacentral:rRNA from 1 species
UACGGAGGGUGCAAGCAUUAAUCGGAUUUAUUGGGCGUAAAGGGCGCGUAGGCGGAUGUGCAAGUAAAGUGUGAAAUUCCGAAGCUCAACUUCGGAGCUGCACUUUAAACUGCAUAUCUUGAGGAUUGACGGAGAAAAUGGAAUUCCACGUGUAGCGGUGAAAUGCGUAGAUAUGUGGAAGAACACCAGUGGCGAAAGCGAUUUUCUAGUUUAUACCUGACGCUGAGGCGCGAGAGCAAGGGAAGCAAACAGGAUUAGAACCGGUACGU